rnacentral:misc_RNA from 1 species
ACGUCAUCCCCACCUUCCUCCGGUUUGUCACCGGCAGUCUCCCUAGAGUGCCCUUGCGUAGCAACUAGGGACAAGGGUUGCGCUCGUUGCGGGACUUAACCCAACAUCUCACGACACGAGCUGACGACAGCCAUGCAGCACCUGUGUUACGGCUCCCUUUCGGGCACACCCCCAUCUCUGAGGGCUUCCGUACAUGUCAAGGGUAGGUAAGGUUAUUCGCGUUGCAUCGAAUUAAUCCACAUCAUCCACCGCUUGUGCGGGUCCCCGUCAAUUCCUUUGAGUUUUAAUCUUGCGACCGUACUCCCCAGGCGGUCAACUUCACGCGUUAGCUGCGGUACUGAGAAAUCGCUUCCCCAACACCUAGUUGACAUCGUUUAGGGCGUGGACUACCAGGGUAUCU